rnacentral:rRNA from 1 species
UCAGGAUGAACGCUAGCUACAGGCUUAACACAUGCAAGUCGAGGGGCAGCAUGAUCUGUGCUUGCACAGAUUGAUGGCGACCGCGCACGGGUGAGUAACGCGUAUCCAACCUUCCCCUUAGUAGGGCAUAGCCCGGCGAAAGUCGGAUUAAUACCCUAUGUUUUUCCAAUGAGGACAUCUGAGCUGGAAUAAAGAUUCAUCGCUAAGGGAUGGGGAUGCGUCCGAUUAGGUUGUUGGCGGGGUAACGGCCCACCAAGCCCUCGAUCGGUAGGGUUCUGAGAGGAAGGUCCCCCACACUGGUACUGAGACACGGACCAGACUCCUACGGGAGGCAGCAGUGAGGAAUAUUGGUCAAUGGGCGAGAGCCUGAACCAGCCAAGUAGCCGUGCAGGAUGACGGCCCUAUGGGUUGUAAACUGCUUUUAUACGGGGAUAAAGUGAGGGACGUGUCCCUUAUUGUAGGUACCGUAUGAAUAAGGACCGGCUAAUUCCGUGCCAGCCGCUGC